rnacentral:lncRNA from 1 species
GAAUUUUCUUUGUGCUGCCGAUAAAAUUCAGUGAAAUUUUCAAACAGAUUCAACCAACAAUUUCUAUGUGAAACAAAUUGAAUGGUGGCGGAAAUUUUAAAAGUCGCAUUGCGCUCGCCCGUUUAGGCCGGAAGGUGACGAUAUAUUGUCUCCGGUUAUAAUUGUAUGUAUCUUAUGUCGAUGGAUACUAACCUUGUUAUUUCUCAUGUUGAGACCAUGGUUUCCAGAAUCGAUGACGUGGACGAUGACACCAUUCGAGUCGCUCUGAAUGUAGUUGUUCCCGAUAACUACAUUGCUGAUCCUGCCAUCGAUGACGUGGACGAUGACACCAUUCGAGUCGAUCUGAAUGUAGUUGUUCCCGAUAACUACAUUGCUGAUCCUGCCAUUGAUGACGUUGCCGCUCAUGACGAUAUGACCAUUAUUGAUGCUGAUACCAUCCGAGCCGAUGCUGAUACCACCCGAGCCGAUGCUACCAAUCCUGAUGCCGCCGUGUCUCUGGAUUCCGCCGUUGUUGUGGUUGUUGCCGACGUUGACGAGACCAACCGAGUCGAUGGCGGCUCCGCUGAAGUCCUGUUCACCAUCGCCGUCGUGGUUGAAGCUGCCUGUGUGGCCGCCAGUGUUGAUCGUGGCGCCGCGGAAGUUCUGCUUCCCGGUGCCGAAGUUGUUGAAGCUGUUACUUGUGCCUUUUCCUGUCAUUCAACACCAGCAAUGAAUCAGUCAGUUGAAAACCCUGCGUGCCGCGCAAAUUGGUCGCGCACAGUUGGUCGCGGCGAUAUAUGAUCGCAGCACAAUACAGGGCCGGAAACAGGCGAUUUUUUUUUUUUUUUUACAAUUACUAUUUUCAAUUUUUCAUCUUAGCUAUCUAUCCAACCACGUCCUCUAGGGGCCCAUGAAGUUUAAAAGACAGAUUCAGAAAGGCCCUAAGACUGGAAUUUAGGGUGUAAUGGGGCCCCCCUUAAAUGUUCGGACAUUAUGGGCCCUCAAUGAAUGUUGGAAUCUGAGAACCUCAAACUGAAAUAUCGGUAAAAUGGAAUCUUCGUUUUGCUGGCCCUAAAUAAGACAAUUCCCAUGGACCCUUUGGAUAUACUACUAGUAUAGUGAAUCCCUGAAUACCAAUGUUUCGGUGGGAUCCCGAGAGAAUGUUUCUUUAGGUGUCUCCGUAUAAAUAUAAUGUCCUGUGAAAGGUUGGCGACAAGGGGUGGAGGAGGAGAUCAGAAGGUGCCAAUUUCCUGAUGAUCUCUGGGAGGAUAGGGGGCAAUGGCGAUUGGGCGUCGCAGAGCGCGAGGCGGCGCUAUAAAAGCGGCUUUAUGUAUGUAUAAAUAUAAUGUAUGUACCUUUGGUCACUUCCGCGACGUGUUCAUCAUAGUCGUGAUCAUCGUCGUGAUCGUCGUGUUCAUGUUCCUCUUCCCAUCUAUCUUCUUCCUCGGCUACCUCGCGUUUGGCGUUGCUGAGGCCGGGCGGGGUUAUCCACGCGGCCGUAUUGAAAAGACUCCCGAAACUAUCGAAAAGGCCUCUGGCUUGAAGAUAUUGUUCGCCAUUGGUUCCAGUCUUUUCGGGAUUCAGAUGGAGCAGUCCGAUCUUUAUUUUCUCCCUGGAGGACUCGGCGCUUACGAGCGCGGGAAACGGCGCCUAUAACACGAACCAUCGAAUAAUGGGUCAAUAACUGCUGAUACAGACUGCGCAACUUCUUUAGUCUUGGAGAAAAGACGUGAUUAUACAUUAAUAGUUUCGAUUUUACUCGCUAAAAACUGUAAAUUUAAGACAAAAAUUACCAUCUAAAUUUCAUAAUUUUCACGAUUUUCGCAAUUUAUUGCAAAGGAUGAAGUUGCACAAUCUUAGCAUCAUUGCAAUGCUAGUAAUUCCUCUUUGCAAAAUGCGAUUCAUAUGAUCUAGGGACGAGAUCCACCACUACGGUGCGCUGCCUCGCGAAUUACGCCUUUAAGAAGCAAAAAUUAUCGUAAUGUACGAGUUAGUGCAGAAACUGAUCCAUGAUGCGUAGCAGCAUUAAUACUGAGUAGAAUAACAUCAAAUUUGGGUAGCUUCCGUGUAAAUUUAUACCUGAAACUAUCAAACUACGAUAAAGGACGUCGCCUACGGACUCAAUGUGUAAGAGAGAGUCAUUACAGCGCUAUCUCUCUCACAUGCACACAUCAUUGAGUCAAUGGGCGACGUCCGUUAUUGUAGUUUCAGGUAUUUUACAAUAAAUCUUCAUUGAAGUUGGUUGCCUGAACCAAGAACUUUGAGGUUCCGUAUAAACUGAGGUUCAUCAGUCUACGUAGAAGAAAUUUUUUCUUUGUGUUGAAAUACGAAAAACUCAACAUCUGUAGAUUAUACAAGAAUACCCUUGAUUAAUCCUAUAAAUCAAGACCUAGGUACGCAACCACAAUCCCUUGUCCACCUAUCAAAAAUUGGAAAGCCAAUCAUAGAAGUUAUUUAAAACGGAGGUAUUGAACUACUCCAGACAUACAGUACCAUUCCAAGAGAGUAUUUCUCAUUAUAUGUUCAUAAAAAAAACAUUUGAUCAAAUUGGUAGUGAUCAAAGUGCUUAAGUCAUAAACCAGAGGUAUUGAAUGCGUCUAAAAUCAGUUAAUUUGAACAUCCCCUUCCCAAAUAUACCAACAUCUAAGUAAUUGUAGGUCGGUUAAUGAAGAAAAAUAAUCUGUUCUAUAACGACAAAUACAUUUGAAGCACAGUACUGUAACCCUCUCGGGAAGGCUUCAAAACACUCAGAAAAUUGUUUAAUCCAUGGAACACUUUGAAAUUAGUCUAUGUAGUUGCCAAUUUUUCAACGUGCAGCAUGUGUAUGCGUGUAUGGACGCAUAAUGAUAAUUAUCUCCCUUAAAAGUUGAAUUGGACAUUCUUGAAAUAUUCAUGAGGUUCAACGUGAAACUUUCAGGAGAAAAUAUGAUUCAUUAUGCGUGAUUUUUACUCCGUCAGAUAUUCCAAUUCGGCUCUUAGGUUCCAGGAAUUUAGAAUUAUUUUACAACACACGUAAGAGGCGUGCCAAGUAGAAAAAUGAUAAUGCAUGAAAGAAAAAGCAACGUAAAACAUCUUGAUUUUUCAGGAACCGGAAGCACAUCUCACAGAACAGUAUCAACAACAAAUACAAAAAAGUGAGUCAGUAGUAAAAAUGCUCAUGCACUUGAAUCAGGAGAAACCCACAAGUAAGACAAUUCCAAUCAGCAAGACGGGAACAUGCGUCUCGAGAGCCACCAUAUUUCAGGCUCAGUGAAAGACUAAAAAUCGCACGAACAACAUCCGCUUAUUUGUAGACCAAAGCUCGAAUUGGCUGAUAGAUCAAGCUCCGCUAAAUCAUACUUUCCAGCAGGAGAGGUGCUUUAAUGUCAUCCGAUCGACCGUUAAUUUACUAAAAGAUCCCAACUCCAGAUAAUCGCGGUUCACGGUUUCACCCAGCCGACACGGCUUCUUGAGCUCACGAGAUAAUGGUGCUUGGGUUCUUUUUUCAAAUAAACUGUUCGAUUGCGUGUGUACCUCAUACCUCGUGACCGUUUUUGCAGCACGAGCGCAAUAUCUAACCCUGACCGAUCUUGGUGACACAUCCAG